UCACAUAUGGUCAGUUACAUUUCUUGAAUGUGGCCCUGUGAGCAUUCCCAACGAAUAAACACCAUCUCUUUCUUUUCCAGAUCCCCCUAAGAACACCUCAGUUUCCGUCGAGCCCCCCGGUCCAGUGCAGGACGGCAGCUCUGUGACUCUGACCUGCACAACCGUCGCCAAUCCAGCAGCGGUUAACUUCACCUGGUUCCGAGUGGUGGGCAGAGAAAAUGAGCCGGUGGGCUCUGAGCGAGACUUCACCUUCAACGUGACCAAACUCUCAGAGGAUCAGUUUUACUGCGAAGCUCUGAACGUCCACGGAGCUGAACUCUCAGAGCCUGCCAGUUUCGACGUCACAUUUGCUCCAGAGAUCCUGCUUUCCUCCCGCUGCAUCAAGAUUUUAUCCCAGGUCCGAUGUUCCUGUGACAGCCAGGCGAACCCCCCUCCCUCCCUGCUUUGGGAGUUAGCCGGAGAGCCUGUCAAUCACUCUGCGGACAUCCCGAUCCAGGAAGUUCCCCUGGGAGACCUGAGCAUGAGGAGCGUCAUCACCUUGUACCGCCUGGACGAACACAUGCCCUCUCUCGUCUGCGUCAGCAUCAACUCGCUGGGCUCUGAUAGUGUUGUGUUCAACGUGACCGCCAGUGAAACUCAGCUAGGUCUCCACACUGUGUCUCUGUUGAUCGGCUCUGCAGUAGGAGCUCUGGGGAUGCUGCUGGUGUGUGUCCCGCUGCUGCUUUUCUACUGCAGGAAAAGGAAAGGCAGCCUUUCACCUGACAAGGGACCGGUGGACACUUCGGACAUUUUAGCUAAUGGGAAAAGCUCUUCACCAGUGGAUGUGAUCUAUGCCAAUGCAGCCAUUGUAGAACAGGAAGCUGCAGCUAACGAGGACUCUAUCCACUACGCCAACGUGACUUUUGCUAAACUCCAGGCCAACUCAGAGAGCAAGCUCAGUGAGGGCGAGAUCCGAGGCCUGGACUCCAAGACCGGGGAGUACGCUCAGAUCCGUUUGAAGCCCAAGGAACGCAGGGGAGGAGAUGCAACAAAUGGAGAGACAGCUGCUGAUACUCAUCUGGGUCAAGAGAAAGACACUGAUGGUCUCAUAGGACAGGUCAGUGAAAAGGUUUUGGCUUAA
rnacentral:lncRNA from 1 species